GGGGGCGUCAUGGUUUCGACUGGAUGUUGGAAACAUGGGUCGCAUGUAGAGGUUGAUCGGUUGGCCUCUUAAAAAAGCCGUUCAAACAAACUAAUUGCAGACUCUAACGAGCUCGCACUUGCUGCUUAAUUGACGGCAACGUCUAUUUACCCGACGUCCACUAGGGUAAAAGGCGCCAAAACAGUGGACUGGCCAAGGAUCGGGUGACCGGGUCCAAGGUGAGAUUCAACAGGUUAAUCGGAAAACGUUAGCCGCUGGUGAGCGACACGUCUUCUUAAACACCUAUCAUCAGCUAAACAUGUAGAAGCUCAAGUAGAAGACAUCUAGGACACGGGUUCAACUCCCGUCGCCUCCACCA
rnacentral:tmRNA from 2 species